CCCUCGGCGCCCCGGCUCCAUUCAAACCGUCCUCCCAAGCCCCGCGCCGCGCUCCCCCCGCGGCCCGCGUUCCUUACCGAGAGUGGCCGGCGCCGUCGCCUUCCCGGCACCGCCCCCGCCCCUCCGCGCGGGGCCGGGGGCAGAGUGGGCGUCUCGCCUCUCCUCACGAAACAAAGAAGCCGCCGCCGCCACCACCGCCGAGUGAGGGGGGCAUAUUGCCCUGGGGGAAGAGGAGAGUUCUAUUCACAAGAGCCCAGAAGUGGAAACAACCCAGAUGUGCAAUAUUUGAAUAAGGAGUAAACCAGAUGUGGUGGAGCCACACGGGGGACUAUUAGUCACCCAUAAAAAGGAAUGAAAUCCUGUCCUUGCUACAACAUGGAUGAUCGUCGAAAACACUAGGCGAAUAAGAGGUCAGACACCGAAGAGUCACGCAGUGUAGGAUUCCAUCUGUAUGAAAUAUCCAGAGUCGGUCCUCCGUGGCUGCAGGAGACAUGUGGUGCCGGGUCCGCGGAGCCUAGGGAGUCCUUGGCCGUGUGCCUCGUCUGACCUCAGCUGACCUGGAAGGGCCAUCCCCACAGUAAUCUCUAUACCCAAUAUGGAACUUGAACUCAUGACCCCAAGAUCAAGAGUCAGUCUUGCUCUUCCCACUGAGCCAGCCAUGGGUCACCUAGGUUCACGGAGGUUAGGCCUAGACCAAGCUAACUCUGAAUCAGCUUCAACUAACAAGGAACCAGAUGAGCGGGAGAGAGGCCGGAAAGGUUGUGAAAACCCAGGGAAAGAACACUGUGCACAUAAUUUAUUUAAGUCACUCUGGAUCUGAGGCUAAAACACAGCGGAUGCCAUCCCGGGUGGACGGUCAGCCAGCGCUCCGCGCCCUUCCGGAUCCAGGCCUGGGUUUCAUCUGGGGACCUCCGACCGCACCAGGGAGUC